CUAGGAUGGUUGUUGGAUUAGAAUCACCGUUUGUGGUUUAAUCUGAUUCCUUUUCCCUCGAUUUGAAUCUGAUGACCUUUGAUAUGGAUGAUAACGGUAUUUGAAAGCUUUAAUGACUAUUCAAGGGGAUUUGAACUUGCUAUUUCUUUAGAAGAUUAUGCAAUGCCAUUUUGUACGCUGCGAUUUCUGCGUUCCUGUAGGAGGAAGUUGUGUGCUCGAGUGAACUAGAAAUGCAGGAAUACUUCAAAUUCUGCAAGAGAUCCAGAAAUGUCAUUUUUUGGCACCAUGGGUAUUGCAGCUGAUCUUGAAAGUUGUAAAAUACAAGCAAUUUUCUCUGAAUUAUUUUACUAAAAUUCCUUGUAGAAGAGGCUUGUUCAUUCGUGUUUAUAUUAUGACUAGCCACUUA